AGAGUUUGAUUAUGGCUCAGAUUGAACGCUGGACGGCAAGGCCUAACACAUGCAAGUCGAGGGGCAGCAUGAUCUUAGCUUGCUAAGAUUGAUGGCGACCGGCGCACGGGUGAGUAACGCGUAUCCAACCUUCCCCUUAGUAGGGCAUAGCCCGUAGAAAUGCGGAUUAAUACCCUAUGUUGUAUAUUGAGGACAUCUGAUUUAUACCAAAGGUUCACCGCUAAGGGAUGGGGAUAGCGUCUGAUUAGGUAGUCGGCGGGGUAACGGCCCACCGAGCCUACGAUCAGUAGGGGUUCUGAGAGGAAGGUCCCCCACAUUGGAACUGAGACACGGUCCAAACUCCUACGGGAGGCAGCAGUGAGGAAUAUCGGUCAAUGGACGAGAGUCUGAACCAGCCAAGUAAGCGUGCAGGAUGACGGCCCUAUGGGUUGUAAACUGCUUUUAUACGGGGAUAAAGUGAGGGACGUGUCCCUUUUUGUAGGUACCGUAUGAAUAAGGACCGGCUAAUUCCGUGCCAGCCGCUGC
rnacentral:rRNA from 1 species